rnacentral:rRNA from 1 species
AUUGAACGCUGGCGGAAUGCUUUACACAUGCAAGUCGAACGGCAGCACGGGGGCAGCCCUGGUUGCGCGUGGCGAACGGGUGUGUAAUUCAUCUGUACGUGCCCUGUCGUGGGGGAUUACGUAGCGUCAGUUACGCUAAUCCCGCCUCCGAUCUUCGGUUGCAAGCGGGGGACCUUCCGUCCUCUCGCGAUCUUCUCUCCCGAUGUCAGAUUAGCUAGUUGGUGGGGUAAAGGCCUACCAAGCCGACGAUCUGUAUCUGGUCUGAGAGUCCGACCAGCCACACUGGGACUGAGACACGGCCCAGACUCCUACGGGAGGCAGCAGUGGGGAAUGUUGGACAAUGGGCGAAAGCCUGAUCCAGCAAUGCCGCGUGAAGGACGAAGGCCUUCGGGUUGUAAACUGCUGUUGUAAGGAAAGAAAAGGCGCGGGAUAAAACCUGGGGGUCAUGACGGUACCGAAAGAAUAAGCACCGGCUAACUACGUG